CACGCUUGCUACAGUGUUGGACCGGCCUGAUAGUCGCCGAUGCUUCGGGCAACAUAUAGGCCUGGCGGUUGGUACCAGCGCGCAGAGCACCCGGAUUUGCCAUCCGUGCGUCCAUCUCCUGAUUCUCCUCCGACUCAUUCGUCGCUGGCGACGGCAGUUUCUAGCGCUUCCAAGUUCCAACGCCGCACCGAGAAGGGAUUUCCUCCGUCUCCCCAGCUGCGCCCCUCGCUUCUAUAGCCUGUACGAGAUCAGCAAGAUUGGUGAAUUGAUCUAGAACAUACACAUCUUCCACAUCCUUCUUCAUCUGUUCUACCCUAUCAAGUAAAGCUUUGAAUCCAUGCUGUACAGCAUCUGCAGGAGACAAGCAUGUUACCAUCUGGCACGUGAUAUGAGGGUCAUGGUACCUCAGGUCCUUACCAACUAAUACCACUUCUACGCCAAGGUAUCGCAUCAGUAUCUGCUUAUCAAGCGAGAGUUUAGCAGGCAUGAGGGCGAUGAACUUGUAUCCUUUCUGAGCAGCAAUGAACGCCACGCCGAUGCCGAGAUUACCACUCGUGACCCCCAGCAGCGUUGUGAUGCCAGGUGUGAUCAAGCCUUUCUCCUCUGCAUCUUCAAUCAAUCUGCAAAUUUGUUCAUCCAUUCAUAUUGUUGUCGAGACUCAUGACGUUACGUAUGGUACAUUUGAGGUGAAGAAUUUCUUCCUGGGAAGGAAACUAAAAAAGACCAGCCACCUGAGAGCACUCCGGUCCUUCACAGAGGAAAGGGGUUGGUAUGGCUCAAUCUUCCCAAUCAGCCGAGCACCUAUGCCAUCUUUCUCAGCGAUGUUUCUCAGUUCUAUCAGUGGUGUCCAACCAAUGAGCUGGAAGGCAUAGAAUAAACUUGCAAAUUAAAGAUAACAAGCUUUUUACAGUAAAGGAAUAGUGACUAUAUACAAAGAAAGUAGGCACCUGCGUGAUGUUGGUGGCGAUGCACUCCCCCUGUGAGGACAGCAGAGAUGUGCAGCAUGCCAAUGAGAUAUUAAGUUCAGAAAACCACCGAUUGGUUGGAAGCCUAGAACUUGGAACACAAGUUUCCCUGCAUGCCAAGAAACCACCGAUGGGUUGGAAGCCUGGAACUUGGACCCCAAGUUUCCCUGCUUAUAGAACAAGACAAUCAACCAUUAUGCAGAGGGUCACAAAGUGCCAAAUGUAGCCGUUGUUAGACUCGUGGUCUGUGACUUCGCUGCAAGUUGAGACGACUGGGUACGUAUUCAUGAACUGAAGAUGCUGGGGUAAUAACACAGAUUUGGCAAAGCUUCCCUGCUCUCUGAAAAGAUAAUUAGUUAAGGUGUGCGCUAUAAAACAACUCGCAGUUGUUUUGUUCAUGGCCUUGCUAUCAAACCUCCACUGUUUUAGUCAGUCGUCUUUAAGAAACGUCUGUUUCUCACGUUCAUGGUGUAUCGGAUUAUUACAAGGAAACAGAACAUUCAUCAGAGUUUUUC